UCAGAUGUGCUUCUCAACAUGGGAUGCGUGAGUUUUUCUACCUUCCAUGGAGUGUGUUUUCCUCCAAGAGGGAGUGCCCGCCUCCUAAAAAAAUGCCUCGGCUUCUCCUGUUGCAGGCUCUUCUCUCUGACGGUCUUCUUCCUAGUCCCUGGGUAUUCAAAGAGGGUUUAAGUGGGGAGAUCCAGCCUCAUCAGCUGUGGACCUAGGCACCAUCCACUGGGCCUCUAUCUGGAGGGAGGAAGAUAGCAUCUCACUAUGUGGGCCUGCAACUCACCACUGCAAAGAACACACUGGCUUUGAACCUGAAGCAAUCCUCACAUCUCAGCUUCCCAAGUGCUAGGACUACAGGCUUGCCUCACCAUACCCAGCUCUGCUCCAGUUAAACCAAGUUUUCUUUUGUCUACACAGAGGAAUAAGGGAAUAACAGAAGGCUAGAACCUGCCGCCUCUGAGAUCUUCCGUCCCAAGAUACACACAGGAGGAAACCAAGACCCAGAGAGAGGAGUGGUCUGCCCAAGGUCGCACAGGCCUGUGUGAUACCUGCAAGUUACUCAGCUACGAAAUAAUCAAGCAAUGCUUCUCCUGUAUGAUUCUCCCUGCAACGAUCUUGCAGGCCAGGCCUCUCCAAGGGGGUUGGGAAAUGUUGACAAACGAGUUGAGGUUGGGUCAGGUGCCAGGCACUGGGCAUUUACUUCCUGAUUCACCUGAUCCCUGGCAUUUCGAGGUGGAGGACACAGAAGUGCAAGAAGGUAAACUUUCUCACAAAACUGUAGAAUCAGAGCUACAGAGCUCUGAGGAAUGGGAUAGAACCGGGUCAUGUUCCUCGGCCCCUCUCCCUAACGCCUGCCGCGUCUUCCUCUUCCCAGUGUCCACCAACCCAAGGCUUCACAGCAAAACUGUUUCGAGGUCCUCCUUCCCUUUGUCCCAUUAAACGUUCUUUUCUGCAGACCGCUCCCUGCCCCAGAGGCUACCUGAUAAAGCUGAGUCCUGUGUGGUUUUCACAGGAAACCCUUUCUCCCUUUAGGUAACACAGUUGACCUUUAAAGGUCAAAUCCCGGCAACUUUCCAAGCAAUCUGAGGUCACAUGUGGGAAGCCAGGCAAGGGGUCACACGAACUAAGGCUGAUUUCCCUGUUCUUCGGGUCGUCUGUUCCUAGGGAGUCUGUUCCUCCUUCCGCAGCCCCGAGGAGUUCAGCCCAUGCAAAGCAUAUAAAUGAAACUUAUUUGCAUCUUGUUCUCAAACAAAUGCUAUACCUGCGGACAUUGGUUAAUUCCCAACCACCCCUCCCCUCCCAACCUGGAAAGACCGAGGUCCUGAUUAAAGCUGUGGUGCUAUAGGUGAGGUGGGGGUGGGAUGAGGACACAGGACUUAAAAGUUUCCAGGUUCUUCUGUUCUAGCACAGACAAGGCAAGGUAGUAGAAAUACAUUUAAAAUAAUGCAAUAAAUACUUAAA